rnacentral:rRNA from 1 species
GUGGGGAAUAUUGGACAAUGGGGGGAACCCUGAUCCAGCCAUGCCGCGUGUGUGAAGAAGGCCUUUUGGUUGUAAAGCACUUUAAGCGAGGAGGAGGCUACCGAGAUUAAUACUCUUGGAUAGUGGACGUUACUCGCAGAAUAAGCACCGGCUAACUCUGUGCCAGCAGCCGCGGUAAUACAGAGGGUGCAAGCGUUAAUCGGAUUUACUGGGCGUAAAGCGCGCGUAGGUGGCCAAUUAAGUCAAAUGUGAAAUCCCCGAGCUUAACUUGGGAAUUGCAUUAGAUACUGGUUGGCUAGAGUAUGGGAGAGGAUGGUAGAAUUCCAGGUGUAGCGGUGAAAUGCGUAGAGAUCUGGAGGAAUACCGAUGGCGAAGGCAGCCAUCUGGCCUAAUACUGACACUGAGGUGCGAAAGCAUGGGGAGCAAACAGGAUUAGAAACCCUUGUAGUCC